rnacentral:ncRNA from 1 species
AAUCAAGCGCGAGAAGGGCGUUUGGUGAAUGCCUUGGCAGUAAGAGGCGAUGAAGGACGUGAUACUCUGCGAUAAGUCAUGGGGAGCUGAGAAUAAGCUUUGAUCCAUGAAUUUCCGAAUGGGGCAACCCACCUGACAGUUCGAUAUAAUAGCCUUUUGGCUGCUUAUAUCUUGCUGAAACAGGUACUUAUAGACUGAAUACAUAGGUUUAUAAGAGCGAACCCGGGGAACUGAAACAUCUAAGUACCCGGAGGAAAGGACAUCAAUUGAGACUCCCCUAGUAGCGGCGAGCGAACGGGGACCAGCCGAGCCUUGAAUGUGAAUAGAAUGGUCUGGAAUGGCCAACCACAGUGGGUGACAGUCCCGUAUAUGAAGCACGAUAGGACGUAUUAAGUAGGGCGGGACACGUGAAAUCCUGUCUGAAGAUCGGGGGACCACCCUCGAAGGCUAAGUACUCCUUACUGACCGAUAGUGAACCAGUACCGUGAGGGAAAGGUGAAAAGCACCCCGACGAGGGGAGUGAAACAGUACCUGAAACCGAACGCCUACAAUCAGUCGGAGGCUCCUUGCGAGCUGACGGCGUACCUUUUGUAUAAUGGGUCAUCGACUUGGUCUCACGAGCAAGCUUAAGCCGUUAGGUGUAGGCGCAGCGAAAGCGAGUCUUAAUAGGGCGCAUGAGUUCGUGGGAUCAGACCCGAAACCGAGUGAUCUAGGCAUGACCAGGAUGAAGGUAAGGUAACACUUACUGGAGGUCCGAACCCACACCUGUUGAAAAAGGUCGGGAUGAGUUGUGCCUAGGGGUGAAAGGCCAAUCAAACUCGGAGAUAGCUGGUUCUCUGCGAAAUCUAUUUAGGUAGAGCGUCAUCCGAAUACCCCGGGGGGUAGAGCACUGGAUGGGUAAUGGGGCCCCACAGGCUUACUGAUCCUAACCAAACUCCGAAUACCCGGGAGUACUAGAUGGCAGACACACCAUGGAUGCUAACGUCCAUGGUGAAGAGGGAAACAACCCUGACCUCCAGCUAAGGCCCCUAAUUCAUGGCUAAG